rnacentral:lncRNA from 1 species
CAAUAAUUAUACUUAAAGAGAUGAAAUAACUUGCACCCACAAUCACUUAGUUAGUUAAUGGGCAGAUUUGAGAUGCAAAUCCAUCAUUUCUUUUUCUACAAAGCCGUUAGGAUCCAGUCUGAAAAUAGAAACCACCCUAAUAUUUCAAGAAUUGAUUGAACUGGGAAUGGAAGAAUUGAAAGGACAAACAGAAAAUAGUGAAGCAGCCUGGAGAGUAACCCGAGCAACACAUGGCUACUGUGACCUUUGAGCCCGAGGAUCUAAGGGAGUAGGUUGUAUUAUCAGAGCCCAGGUGCUUCCUGGUGGAUGCUGGAAGAUUUCCUUGCUCACUCUAUGGCAGCUGGGACCAUGGAGGAGAAUUUGUCUAAUAGGAGCAUGAGCUGUUGCCCUGAACACUACUCAAAGCAGGGAGAGAGAGAGAAAAAAGUAUUCUGGCUUUUCUCCUCUUCCCACCCUCCAGUCUUCCACCAGUGCCUCUCAUUAACCAAACCUCCAGGAAGCCAGAAAGCAAAGGGCUCAGGCAAAGUGAUGCAGAACAGGGUAGAGAAGGAACAAGUUAUAGAUCUGAGAGCACAUAAGCAAAGUGAUGCAGAACAGGGUAGAGAAGGAACAAGUUAUAGAUCUGAGAGCACAUAAGCAAAUGGCCAGCGCAGACUGUGUUACGUCGCCAUCGAAGUGACAGGCAGUCUCACGUCAUGUAUCUAUUUUACAUUCCUCUCAAAUCCCAGUAAAGUAUUAUGCUCAUGUUCAUAUCUUUACACCUGAAAGGACCUCACUACUUGUCUGCUUUUGUUUUACACAUUAUAAAACUGUGGCCCAAAGAGAUAAAUUGAUUUAGUUAAAGUCUAAUGGCAAGUAAAUAGCAGAGCCCAGAACUAAGUCCAGGAAUUCUGAAACCAAGUCCAGUAUUCUUCCCAUUUCACCACGAAGUGCUCAAUAAACACUCGUCAAAUUGAAGUGAACUGAAUUAAUUCAACUGAGGCGAUUAUGGUGAAAGAGAAAUCACAAGCUUCUGAAAGACUAGCAGGGUGUUGCCGGGACAGAACCAUACAGAAUAUUCCUGAUUAGAC